UAUCUCUACCGUGCAGGACACGGAUCUGUGUAAGCCGCGUCACACCAUCGACUGCCUGAAGAAGUGACAUCACGUCCGCGGCGUUGACGUCGCCACCGACGAGACAGUGGCGCGCUCUGUGAGCAAAGAGCCAUCGUUGACAAGGUCGAGCCGGGAGGUCGCAUGAUGCUCCACCUAUCACAGGAGAGCAUGUUGAGCGAAUGCAGCGUGUCGAGUGCUUGCAGCGCCGCCAGUGGCCAGUCGGUGAACAAUGAGAGCGGCAAGAAGAAGAAGAAGAAGAAGAGCUGGUUUGUUCAGCAAGCGUUCAACCACCGUAAGAAGAAUAAGAAUGGCUCGGUGUCGGAUGCUGAGGAUGGAGUGAGCAUGACGAGUGAUGGGGUCGGCCCCCAACUCACCGAUGUGUGUGCGCAACAACCGCAGUGGCUCGCUCAAGCUCACCCACUCAUCGUCACUGUCGCCUGGAGCCAUCCAUGGACGAGGAGGAGGUCGAACAAGAGCUGCGCAGAUACUUCACGAACAUAGCAGACGAUGAACCUGAGGAGAGAGGUAAUGACUUACCUCUCCCAGCAGGUUGUCGAGGAUGCGGAGCAGCUCCAGGCGAUGGCUCCUUACCAGACCUGCA